rnacentral:rRNA from 1 species
AUUGAACGCUGGCGGCAUGCCUUACACAUGCAAGUCGAACGGUAACAGGUUAAGCUGCCGAGUGGCGAACGGGUGAGUAAUGUAUCGGAACGUGCCCAGUCGUGGGGGAUAACUGCUCGAAAGAGCAGCUAAUACCGCAUACGACCUGAGGGUGAAAGCGGGGGAUCGCAAGACCUCGCGCGAUUGGAGCGGCCGAUAUCAGAUUAGGUAGUUGGUGAGGUAAAGGCUCACCAAGCCGACGAUCUGUAGCUGGUCUGAGAGGACGACCAGCCACACUGGGACUGAGACACGGCCCAGACUCCUACGGGAGGCAGCAGUGGGGAAUUUUGGACAAUGGGCGCAAGCCUGAUCCAGCCAUGCCGCGUGCGGGAAGAAGGCCUUCGGGUUGUAAACCGCUUUUGUCAGGGAAGAAAAGGUUCUGGCUAAUACCUGGGACUCAUGACGGUACCUGAAGAAUAAGCACCGGCUAACUACGU